UACGAAGGGUGCAAACGUUGUUCGGAAUUACUGGGCGUAAAGGGCUUGUAGGUGGCCAACUAAGUCAGACGUGAAAUCCCUCGGCUUAACCGGGGAACUGCGUCUGAUACUGGAUGGCUGGAGUGUGGGAGAGGGAUGCGGAAUUCCAGGUGUAGCGGUGAAAUGCGUAGAUAUCUGGAGGAACACCGGUGGCGAAGGCGGCAUCCUGGACCAUUACUGACACUGAAAAGCGAAAGCCAGGGGAGCAAACGGG
rnacentral:rRNA from 1 species